UGACCAAUGCACUGACCACCAGACCAGUGAUUGACCAGUCUGGCCAGAAUCUCAAGUUGAUCCAGAUCAAGAAGUAUUGGGGAUUAUCUCACCUAUUAACAAAGUCUGAGUAAAAGUGCAGAACAGUGAUUUUGGAUUGUACAGUUAGCUCCCCUGAAAAUCAAGACUUCAUCAAAGGAUUUAAACCAAGUCUAUGGUGAUAAAGGGUUUGUUUUUCAGGACUCAUUAAGCUGAAGAUCACCAGUCCUAUUAAAAGAAGGUGACUUAUUCAAGGACACUUAGAAAGGUAGCAUAUACAUACUUAGUUUCAAGACAACAGACCUG